rnacentral:rRNA from 1 species
ACUCGAGUGGCGAACGGGUGAGUAACACGUGGGUGAUCUGCCCUGCACUUCGGGAUAAGCCUGGGAAACUGGGUCUAAUACCGGAUAGGACCACAUUUUGGAUGGUGUGGUGGAAAGUUUUUCGGCGUGGGAUGAGCUCGCGGCCUAUCAGCUUGUUGGUGGGGUAAUGGCCUACCAAGGCGUCGACGGGUAGCCGGCCUGAGAGGGUGUACGGCCACAUUGGGACUGAGAUACGGCCCAG